CCAAGAACAGUGCCUGAUGCCAGGUAAAAGUUAAAAUCAUUGGCAGUAUUUAAUAACAAUUAUACCAGUAGUACCUAACAAUAUUUAUAUUACUAAUAUUAAUUUGUAUUAGAACUUUUUGCAGAAUUGAAAAUUUAUAAAUUUAACUUUUGUAAAGUGAGGGAUAGGCAUAUGUGAUGUACAGAGAGGUAGAUCUAAAGCAAAAUGACUAGAAAACUAGAGAGAAAAAAGUGGGAAAAGAUAUGCCAGGCAAAUGUGAACAAAAAGAAAGUUGGGGUCAUGAUAUCACUCAGAUAGGGUGAAAUUUAAGACAAAAAGUAUAAUACAAGAUGAAGGAGGAAAUUUUAUGAUGGUAAAAGAUCUACAGAGAGGAUACACCUUUCAUAAAUCUUAAAGCACUAAGUAAUACAAUAAAACACAUAAAUAAAAAAUGCAGAACUUCAAAGAAAAUGAUUAGAAACAAAAUAGUAGUACCCUACUUUAAUUCAUUUUAUGGAUCAAGUCAUCAGAAGUUGGUAAGGAUAUAUUUGAACAAAGAAGUCCAUGAGGUUAAUGAAAUAGACUUGGUAGAUGAAAUAGAUGAAAUAGGUAUCUUGUUAACUGAAAAUCAUCUUAUUUUUAAAAGCUCAUGAAACAUUUACCAAAUUGACUAUAUUAUUGGCCCCCCCUACACAAAAGAUCCCUCAAUUCAUUCCAAAAAUUAGAAAUAAUCCAGACCACAUUCUCUGAUAACCAUGCAAUUCAACAAAAAAUGAAUGACCAAAAUAAAAGUUAACAUCUACCCUACUUGGAAAAAUAAAAACUAUUUAAAACAACCUUUUUACAAAGAGGAAAUCAAAUUGAUGUUGCAAAAUGUGUACAAAGUAAUAAAACAUUACACACCUAACCUAUAGGAUACAGCUACUGCUAUGUUCAUCAGAUAGUCAUGGUUUCAAAUGCAAAUACAAGAAAGAAGAAAAAUAACAUACUAUUUAACUCAAAAAAGUAGGAAACAGACUACAAGUUAAACCUCAGAAAGCAGAAGAGAAAUAAAAAGGUAAAAUCAGAAACAAUAGAAUUGAUAAUAUAAAUCUCUAAUUUCUUUACUUAAGGAGAAAAUAAAAAUCCCAAUAUACUAGCUAAGCUGACUAACAUAAAGAAGGCACGAGAGAGAGAAAUGAUUUACAGACACUGUGAAAGAAUUAAAGAAUUUAAAAAGUGUACUGCGAAAGUAUUAUGCAAAUAAAUUUGAAGACCUGUGUGAAAUUAAGAUGGUAUAGAUUGUCUAGAAAAAACAUAAGCAAGAAAGAAAAUGGAAUAAUUGCCAGAGAACUACUUUCUGAAAAACAUCAGUUUAUAGAUAAUUCUUCCAAAUCUUCAAAUAACAUACAGUAUUUUUCAAAAUAGUGUUUUGAGAUGAGCAUUUUUUUAAAGAAAUAGAAUAGUACAGAGUGAAUACUCAUAGAGCAAGUAUUAUGUGAAACUUGUUACAGUGCGUAUACUUAUGCCAGAUCUCCUUUUAAAGAUGCAUUUCUUUCUCUUUUUUUUCUAUCAAUAAAGGUCUAAUUAAGUAAAAACUGUGAUGCAUUCACAUACUGGAAUACUGUGCCACUGUACAAAAGAAUGAGAAAGCAAAUUAUGAACAAACCAUAGGUCCUGCCAGAAGACAGUUACCAGGAACUACCGAUAUCCUGAGAACACCAAUUUGGUCCCAGGAUGGAGUGAAUGCUGUCUCUGGUGUCCUACCAUUGGGGUCAGCCUGCCCACUGUGCAUUGAGAAGACCCUCUUCUGCCUCCCGUCCCUGCUGCCAAACAUUCCCAAAGCCACCAGGAAUGAUUCCUUUACUGCCAGACCACAUGGCGUUGUUGAGAGGUGACCAAGAAGGGAGGAUUCCCUUUUAGCCACAGAUGCUAGGGUACAGUAUAUGUGCUUAGGUGGGAGGGAAAGUGGAAGAAUAUUUUUAAUGUCUUAUAUUAGAUAUGAAAUAGGUUUUACAAUAGAAACAAUAUCUAGAUGGUAAUUCGGUUUCCUGGUCAUUCACUUAAAGCUUAUUCAUAAUUUUGCCAGAAAUAUACUGUAUUUUAUAUACAAAUAGCACUGUAUUUCAGUAAUUUUGGGGGGCCCAUAAUAGGCUUGGAGGAAUUAGUGUGGAAAUGUAACCAUAAUUUAUAACAUUGUUUCUGUGAGAAAUAUGGGGUCACUACUUGGGACGCC